rnacentral:lncRNA from 10 species
CUGGGUUGUUCAUUAGUGCAAGAUGAAAAUUCAAAGACAAGAUGGCUGGUCAGUAAACUCACAGGAGAAAUGUACUUAUGGAUGGAAUGAGGGUGUAAGAAUUUAUACUCAGAAGUAGUAUAUGUUUGCUUUUGUCUAUAUUGUAAAAUUAUUCUGAACAAUUUUGAAAAUCACUUGCUUCCAUCUGCUUCUCAAGGGAAUUCUGCCAGACUACAAGCUUUCUCUCUUUCUUCUCCCAGGUCACUGGGUAUCAAUGGGACAAAUAAUCACUCCAUGGCAUCAGCAUGUAUAUCAAGAAAGAGAAAGUCACUCUUUAAUAAAGCUAGAAAACACCAGUAUUUUCUCAGGAGAAAUUGCAAUUUUCAUUUUUAAUCUGUCUUGAUAAAGUUUUACAAGAUUCAGGACUUUCAUUUCUCUCAGGGCCCCGGUAUCCAUUCAUCAAGCCUCUAGCACCACGGGAGCCUCCACGAGACACACCACGACUAUUGUAAUAGGGCUGAUUGCUACGUGGAAAUCCAGUGUUCUGCUGAGGAGGCUGCUGGUGGUUACCAGUCACUUGAUGGGACUGGUCCGGGGAACCAUGGUAAGUGCCAACCACUGUUUGAAGCUAUUCUUGCUGAAGCUCUGUUUGUUCUACUUGGUGAGGCUGACUAGAAAAGCUCUGGUUAUAACUGGCCUGGUACUGAUUUUGCUGUUUUAAAGUUUCUGGUUCACAGCUUUUCCAGUUAAAUUGGAGCACUGAACGUUCAGAUGCAUACCAAAUUAUGCAUGGGUCCUAAUCACACCUAUAAGGCUGGCUACCAGCUUUGACACAGCACUGUUCAUCUGGCCAAACAACUGUGGUUAAAAACACAUGUAAAAUGCUUUUUAACAGCUGAUACUGUAUAAGACAAAGCCAAGAUGCAAAAUUAGGCUUUGAUUGGCACUUUUUGAAAAAUAUGCAACAAAUAUGGGAUGUAAUCUGGAUGGCCGCUUCUGUACUUAAUGUGAAAUAUUUAGAUACCUUUUUGAACACUUAACAGUUUUUUUGAGACAAUGACUUUUGUAAGGAUUGGUACUAUCAUUCCUUAUGACAUGUACAUUGUCUGUCACUAAUCCUUGGAUUUUGCUGUAUUGUCACCUAAAUUGGUACAGGUACUGAUGAAAUCUCUAGUGGAUAAUCAUAACACUCUUGGUCACAUGUUUUUCCUUCAGCUUGAAAGCUUUUUUUUAAAAGGAAAAGAUACCAAAUGCCUGCUGCUACCACCCUUUUCAAUUGCUAUCUUUUGAAAGGCACCAAUAUGUGUUUUAGAUUGAUUUCCCUGUUUCAGGGAAGUCACAGACGGUAGUUUCAGUUCUGAUGGUAUAAGCAAAACAAAUAAAACAUGUUUAUAAAAAAAAAAUUAUUGGAGAUUUUUUUCUUAAUGUUACCAAAACAUCAAAAUCAGUAACUAACUAAAGAAAGAAACAAAAAAGGAAGUAAAAUCAUACAAAAAAAUAACUGAUAAGAGGGAGGAAAUUUAAAUAAAAUCUAAAGAUACUACUUUUCAGACCUCUUUGUAA